GAUGAACGCUGGCGGCGUGCCUAAUACAUGCAAGUCGAGCGAACAGAUGAGGAGCUUGCUUCUCUGAUGUUAGCGGCGGACGGGUGAGUAACACGUGGAUAACCUACCUAUAAGACUGGGAUAACUUCGGGAAACCGGAGCUAAUACCGGAUAAUAUGUUGAACCGCAUGGUUCAAUAGUGAAAGACGGUUUUGCUGUCACUUAUAGAUGGAUCCGCGCCGCAUUAGCUAGUUGGUAAGGUAACGGCUUACCAAGGCAACGAUGCGUAGCCGACCUGAGAGGGUGAUCGGCCACACUGGAACUGAGACACGGUCCAGACUCCUACGGGAGGCAGCAGUAGGGAAUCUUCCGCAAUGGGCGAAAGCCUGACGGAGCAACGCCGCGUGAGUGAUGAAGGUCUUCGGAUCGUAAAACUCUGUUAUUAGGGAAGAACAAAUGUGUAAGUAACUAUGCACGUCUUGACGGUACCUAAUCAGAAAGCCACGGCUAACUACGUG
rnacentral:rRNA from 1 species